rnacentral:rRNA from 1 species
UACGUAGGGUGCGAGCGUUAAUCGGAAUUACUGGGCGUAAAGCGUGCGCAGGCGGCUUUGCAAGUCAGAUGUGAAAUCCCCGGGCUCAACCUGGGAACUGCAUUUGUGACUGCAAGGCUAGAGUACGGUAGAGGGGGAUGGAAUUCCGCGUGUAGCAGUGAAAUGCGUAGAUAUGCGGAGGAACACCGAUGGCGAAGGCAGUCCCCUGGACCAGUACUGACGCUCAUGCGCGAAAGCGUGGGGAGCAAACAGG